rnacentral:ncRNA from 1 species
AAUAAGUUUGAUUCUUGCUUAUUUAUUAAUUUAUUAGAUGACUUAUAUGUUUAUUUUUUAAAUAUUUUUAUUAACAGUAAAUGUAAUUGUUUAGUUGAUUAUAUAUAGUUUUCAGUAAUUUAAUUAUAAUGGAUAAAUUUUGUGCCAGCAUUCGCGGUUAUACAAUUCAUUAAAAUUAAUAUUUUAUUUUUUUUAAUAAUAAUAUUGUUGAUUUUUUAUAGAUUUUAUUUAGGUGGAAUUUAUUUUAUCUUUUUAAUCUUUUUUUAUGUUUACUAAAUUGUAAUGUUAAACUAGGAUUAGAUACCCUAUUAUUUAUUUAAUUUAAAUUUGUUAAUGAAUAUUAAUAGUUAUGUUCUAUAAAACUCAAAGAAUUUGGCGGUAAUUUACAUCUUUUUAGAGGAACCUGUAAGUUAAUUGAUAAACCACGAUGAUUUUUACCUUUAUUUUUAUUUGUAUAUCUCUAUAAUUGUGAAUGUUAUUUAAGUAAAUUUUCUUUUAUUUUUAUUAAUAAUGUUAGGUCAAGGUGCAGUUUUGUAAAGGUAGUUAUGGGUUACUUUAAUAUUAAAUUUAAUGUUGAUUUUUUCUAUAGUCUAGAAAUUUUAGUUUUAGUAGGAUUUGAUAGUAAUUUUAUUUAAUUAUUUAUUUUGAAUUUAGUUUUAAUUUAUGCACAUAUCGCCCGUCACUCUCUUUAACAUGGGAUAAGUCGUAACAAAGUAGGUGUACCGGAAGGUGUAGCUAGAAAGUU